rnacentral:rRNA from 1 species
GAUGAACGCUGGCGGCGUGCCUAAUACAUGCAAGUCGAGCGAAUGGAUUAAGAGCUUGCUCUUAUGAAGUUAGCGGCGGACGGGUGAGUAACACGUGGGUAACCUGCCCAUAAGACUGGGAUAACUCCGGGAAACCGGGGCUAAUACCGGAUAACAUUUUGAACCGCAUGGUUCGAAAUUGAAAGGCGGCUUCGGCUGUCACUUAUGGAUGGACCCGCGUCGCAUUAGCUAGUUGGUGAGGUAACGGCUCACCAAGGCAACGAUGCGUGGCCGACCGGAGGGGGUGAUCGGCCACACGGGGACUGAGACCCGGCCCAGACUCAUACGGGAGGCAGCAGUAGGGAAUCUUCCGCAAUGGACGAAAGUCUGACGGAGCAACGCCGCGUGAGUGAUGAAGGCUUUCGGGUCGUAAAACUCUGUUGUUAGGGAAGAACAAGUGCUAGUUGAAUAAGCUGGCACCUUGACGGUACCUAACCAGAAAGCCACGGCUAACUACGUGCCAGCAGCCGCCGUAA